GGAAUAUUGCGCAAUGGGCGAAAGCCUGACGCAGCGACGCCGCGUGGAGGAUGACGGUCUUAGGAUUGUAAACUCCUGUCAGGUGGGAAGAAAAGCUUAUUUCUAAUAAAUAUAGGUAAUGACUGUACCAUCAGAGGAAGCACUGGCUAACCUCGUGCCAGCAGCCGCGGUAAUACGAGGGGUGCAAGCGUUAUUCGGAAUCAUUGGGCGUAAAGGGUGCGUAGGCGGUUUGUUAAGUUUAUUGUUUAAUCCUCCGGCUUAACCGGAGAAAUGCGAUGAAAACUGGCGGACUAGAGGGUGAGAGAGAGAAGUGGAAUUCCCGGAGUAGCGGUAAAAUGCGUGGAUCUCGGGAGGAACACCAAUGGCGAAGGCAGCUUCUUGGCUCAUUCCUGACGUUGAGGCACGAAAGCGUGGGGAGCAAA
rnacentral:rRNA from 1 species